rnacentral:rRNA from 1 species
UACCUCGCAACGGCUGCGGACGACCAGGGCGAGCGCCAGAACGUUUUUUACCUUUAGACAUUACAUCACUCCUUCUGCACGUAAUUUUUGACGCACGUUUUCUUCUGCGUCAGUAAGAACGUCAGUGUUUCCUGCGCGUACACGCAAGGUAAACGCGAACAAUUCAGCGGCUUUAACCGGACGCUCGACGCCAUUAAAUAUGUUUUCCGUAAAUUCA